UACGUAGGGUCCAAGCGUUAUCCGGAAUCACUGGGCGUAAAGCGUACGUAGGCGGUUCGUUAAGUGAGAUGCGAAAUCUUGUGGCUCAACCAUAUAGAUGUUGUCUCAUACUGGCGAACUUGAGGAUGGCAGAGGCAAGUGGAAUUACUAGUGUAGCAGUGAAAUGCGUAGAUAUUAGUAGGAACACCAAUGGCGAAGGCAGCUUGCUGGGCCAUUUCUGACGCUGAGGUACGAAAGCGUGGGGAGCGAACAGG
rnacentral:rRNA from 1 species